rnacentral:rRNA from 1 species
ACGAACGCUGGCGGCGUGCUUAACACAUGCAAGUCGAACGGAAAGGCCCUGCUUUUGUGGGGUGCUCGAGUGGCGAACGGGUGAGUAACACGUGAGUAACCUGCCCUUGACUUUGGGAUAACUUCAGGAAACUGGGGCUAAUACCGGAUAGGAGCUCCUGCUGCAUGGUGGGGGUUGGAAAGUUUCGGCGGUUGGGGAUGGACUCGCGGCUUAUCAGCUUGUUGGUGGGGUAGUGGCUUACCAAGGCUUUGACGGGUAGCCGGCCUGAGAGGGUGACCGGCGACAUGGGGACUGAGAUACGGCGCAGACUCCUACGGGAGGCAGCAGUGGGGAAUAUUGCACAAUGGGCGGAAGCCUGAUGCAGCAACGCCGCGUGCGGGAUGACGGCCUUCGGGUUGUAAACCGCUUUCGCCUGUGACGAAGCGUGAGUGACGGUAAUGGGUAAAGAAGCACCGGCUAACUACGUG